UACGUAGGGUGCAAGCGUUGUCCGGAAUUAUUGGGCGUAAAGAGCUCGUAGGCGGUUUGUCGCGUCGAAUGUGAAAACCCGGGGCUCAACUCCGGGCCUGCAUUCGAUACGGGCAGACUAGAGUUCGGUAGGGGAGGCUGGAAUUCCUGGUGUAGCGGUGAAAUGCGCAGAUAUCAGGAGGAACACCGGUGGCGAAGGCGGGUCGCUGGGCCGAUGACUGACGCUGAGGAGCGAAAGCGUGGGGAGCGAAC
rnacentral:rRNA from 1 species